CCUACGGGAGACUGCAGUGGGGAAUAUUGCACAAUGGGGGAAACCCUGAUGCAGCGAAGCCGCGUGAGUGAAGAAGUAAUUCGUUAUGGAAAGCUCUAUCAGCAGGGAAGAAAAUGACGGUACCUGAGUAAGAAGCCCCGACUAACUACGUGCCAGCGGCCGCGGUAAUACGUAGGGGGCAAGCGUUAUCCGGAUUUACUGGGUGUAAAGGGAGCAUAGACGGCAGUGAAAGUCUGGAGUGAAAGGCGGGGGCUCAACCCCCGUACUGCUCUGGAAACUGUACGGCUGGAGUGAAGGAGAGGUAAGUGGAAUGCCUAGUGUAGCGGUGAAAUGCGUAGAUAUUAGGCGGAACACCAGUGGCGAAGGCGGCUUACUGGACUGUAACUGACGUUGAGGCUCGAAAGCGUGGGGAGCAAACAGGAUUAGAUACCCGUGUAGUC
rnacentral:rRNA from 1 species